rnacentral:rRNA from 1 species
GACGAACGCUGGCGGCGUGCUUAACACAUGCAAGUCGAGCGGUAAGGCCCUUCGGGGGUACACGAGCGGCGAACGGGUGAGUAACACGUGGGUGACCUGCCCUCAGCUCUGGGAUAAGCCUGGGAAACCGGGUCUAAUACUGGAUAUGACUCCAUGACGCAUGUUGUGGGGUGGAAAGCCUUGUGCGGCUGAGGAUGGGCCCGCGGCCUAUCAGCUUGGUUGGUGGGGUGANGGCCUACCAAGGCGACGACGGGUAGCCGGCCUGAGAGGGCGACCGGCCACACUGGGACUGAGACACGGCCCAGACUCCUACGGGAGGCAGCAGUGGGGAAUCUUGCGCAAUGGGCGAAAGCCUGACGCAGCGACGCCGCGUGAGGGA